GGACAAUUAAAAAAGCAGAUGUUUGAGGAGAAGACUUGAUGAAUGGGGAAUGCUCAAUUCAAGAUGUAAUGAAGGAACUAGAGACCUUGAUUGCGAUGUUGGACAUACCAAAAAAGAUGUGUUCCCUGACACUGAAUAGGUGCACUUCACAGUCACUGGAUCCCCUUCUGUGACAGUGACCUGAUCUUCUGGCGGAGUCAUCGACUGAGCUCUCAGUCCACCUAUAAAUUAAUCCAUAACGCAUCAGAGAAACUGCUGAAAAAGAAUCUCUUCAUGGAUUUCCUGCCUCUGUGUCCUCCAGAGCACAGUAGUAAAUGGCUGCAUCUGCCAUCUGCACCCGGAGGAUAAGCAGUGAUGAAGAGAACCGCUCAUAUGUCAUGUUGUACCGUCCCUGCUGAGAAGGCCUUGAGCCCUUAACAAGGAGUCUUGGUGCACAUCCUGGGAAGUGAAGGUACCAGAAGAAGUCGUAAGCAUUGGAUAAAGAGUGAUUACAGGAGAUUUCUGCCAGAGCACCCUCCGAAGA